rnacentral:rRNA from 1 species
AGGACGAACGCUGGCGGCGUGCCUAAUACAUGCAAGUCGAACGGUCUUUCUAUGGAAGCUUGCUUCCACUGAGAAGAUAGUGGCGAACGAGUGAGUAACACGUGGGUAACCUGCCCAUAAGAGGGGGGAUAACAUCCGGAAACGGGUGCUAAUACCGCAUAGUUUUCUUGAUCGCAUGAUUGAGAAAGGAAAGACGGCCUUUGUGCUGUCGCUUAUGGAUGGACCCGCGGCGUAUUAGUUAGUUGGUGAGGUAACGGCUCACCAAGACGAUGAUACGUAGCCGACCUGAGAGGGUGAUCGGCCACAUUGGGACUGAGACACGGCCCAAACUCCUACGGGAGGCAGCAGUAGGGAAUCUUCCGCAAUGGACGAAAGUCUGACGGAGCAACGCCGCGUGAGUGAAAGAAGGUUUUCGGAUCGUAAAACUCUGUUGUCAGAGAAGAACAAGUUGGAGAGUAACUGCUCCAGCCUUGACGGUAUCUGACCAGAAAGCCACGGCUAACUACGUGCCAGCCGCCGC